GUUUCUGUAGUGUAGUGGUUAUCACGUUCGCCUCACACGCGAAAGGUCCCUGGUUCGAAACCAGGCAGAAACA
rfam:Cariama cristata contig103882, whole genome shotgun sequence.